rnacentral:rRNA from 1 species
AUGGACACCAAGCAUGCGGAUUCGUUCGACGAGCGCGACGUCGUCGUCGACGCCGGCUGCGUCCGCGCCGUGCUCGGGGAGCUGGUCCUCACCUUCCUCUUCGUCUUCACCGGAGUCGCCGCCGCCAUGGCCGCCGGGGUGCCGGAGCUGCAAGGCGCGGCUAUGCCGAUGGCGACGUUGGCCGGGGUUGCCCUCGCGCAGGCGCUGGCGGCGGGGGUGCUGGUGACGGCGGGCUUCCACGUGUCGGGCGGGCACCUCAACCCGGCGGUGACGGUGGCGCUGCUGGCGCGCGGGCACAUCACGGCGUUCAGGGCCGUGCUGUACGUGGCGGCCCAGCUGCUGGCCUCCUCCCUCGCCUGCAUCCUCCUCCGCUACCUCUCCGGCGGCCAGGCUACUCCGGUUCCGGUCCACACCCUAGGCGCAGGCAUAGGCCCCAUGCAAGGGCUGGUCAUGGAGGUCAUCCUCACCUUCUCCCUCCUCUUCGUCGUGUACGCGACCAUCAUCGACCCGCGGACCACGGUGCCCGGCUACGGUCCGAUGCUCACCGGCCUCAUCGUCGGUGCCAACACAAUUGCCGGCGGCAACUUCUCCGGCGCUUCCAUGAACCCAGCUAGGUCCUUCGGGCCCGCGUUGGCCACUGGGGUGUGGACCAACCACUGGGUCUACUGGGUCGGCCCGCUGGUCGGCGGCCCCCUCGCCGGGUUCGUCUAUGAAACGGUGUUCAUGGUGACGAAGACGCAUGAGCCUCUACUUGGUUGGGACUUUUAG